rnacentral:rRNA from 1 species
UACGUAGGGUCCGAGCGUUGUCCGGAAUUAUUGGGCGUAAAGGGCUCGUAGGCGGUUUGUCGCGUCGGGAGUGAAAACUCAGGGCUCAACCCUGAGCGUGCUUCCGAUACGGGCAGACUAGAGGUAUGCAGGGGGAGAACGGAAUUCCUGGUGUAGCGGUGGAAUGCGCAGAUAUCAGGAGGAACACCGGUGGCGAAGGCGGUUCUCUGGGCAUUACCUGACGCUGAGGAGCGAAAGCCAGGGGAGCAAACAGG